UACACAACAAUUUAAAUGAUAAAUUCAUACUAAAUUUUAUCGAUUUAAAGAAAGUAUUUGAUCGAUUCUAUUAUCCUUGACAGUUACAAUAACACAAAAAAAUGGGAAGGAGACCGAUAGCAAAUAAUCGUGUAAGGCGGUACACAUUAUAUUAUCUAUUUCACAAUUAUUUUGAUUUCGUAUUUUUCAGACGAACAUGUAGGUAUUGGCGGAUAUCGAUUAUAGUGCAGGACUACAUAGAUAUCAAAUGGGCUGAUACCGAAUUGGUUCCCGAGCUCCAACUCCAUGUGCCGAAUUGGUUUCCGUUAGAAAAAGGUAUUUUAUUAAGAUGACAGUGACUGCGGUGGCACCUGCACUGACACAGAUUUGGCCAAGAAUCGGCGGAACGUGUGUCCUCGACAUCUUGAAAUGCAAGUGAAGUUACGGACAGUUGUCAGACGCCAAGACGUAAUUUAUUGAUACGGGCCGCAUGCGUUUUCCAGACGCAUCAGUGUGCGACAUCACCAAUCGACCAUCCGAAUUUGGCCAUUGGGGCACUGGGGCAAUAACGACAUAUCGGGUUUGAAAACCACUUUGGUGAUUCACCGAAUUUUAAUCCCGGCUUCCAGUCGGAUGAACACAAACGGCCGGCUGCUAUCCACGCGUUACAACUGUUGCACUCCUUUGCAAAUGCACUUGCACUUACCUGAGUCUCUAGUCUCUACCAUCGCCCUCCGUCACCGUCUAUCAAAGUGCACAACAUCGCACAAGUCGUUCUUUCAGUCCGUCGCGUGCUCACAACUCUAUGUCCAACACUGCAUAAUCAUUCGUCCGCCAGGGACCGGAUGAAGUAAUGUGAAUAUAGUGAUAACCGCAGUCGCCAGAAUCGUUUAAUUCACACAAAUGUUAUCGGUUCUUUCUUACUUUUAUCCAUAUAUCCUGUCAGAGUAAUUUUUAAGUAUUUUUGUUAUUGUCUUUGCUGAAU